CACGUAGGGCGCAAGCGUUGUCCGGAAUUAUUGGGCGUAAAGAGCUCGUAGGCGGUCUGUUACGUCUGCUGUGAAAACCCUGGGCUUAACCCUGGGCUUGCAGUGGAUACGGGCAGACUAGAGGCAGGUAGGGGAGAAUGGAAUUCCCGGUGUAGCGGUGAAAUGCGCAGAUAUCGGGAGGAACACAGGUGGCGAAGGCGGUUCUCUGGGCCUGACCUGACGCUGAGGAGCGAAAGCGUGGGGAGCGAACAGG
rnacentral:rRNA from 1 species